AAGAAAGGAAGAAGAGAGAAAGAAAGAACGGAAUGAAGAGAAAAAGAAAGGAAGAAAAGAAAGAAAGAAAGGGAAAAAAAAGAAAAGGAGAAAGGAAGAAAGAAAAACAGUCCUGCAUGAGAGAGAAGGAGAGGCCUUUUCCUGACAGGAGGAAAGGCAGAAUGCCAGGAAAGGUAAUUGGAAGCUGCUUUUAAAGCCAGAAAUGAAGAGGAAGAAUUUCAAUGUAUUAUCUCCAAAUUAAAGAUCAAUGUCACAGAACUCUGGAGUUGAUAGAAAUCUUACCUGAAGAAUUUCUUCCAUAAUCAACAAGAGAUCAUCUAGUUUUUUGCUUGAAGACUUUCAAUGAAGAAGAAUCUUUUCCUGAUUCAGUUCCCCUAUCCUCAUUUCACCUUUGAAAAGCUUUAAUUGCGCAUUAAUCCAGCAUAAAGGAUUUAUUAAGUGACUCCUGUAUUUCAGGAAUUUAUGUUGGAAAUACAAAAAUAAAAUCAAAAUAAUACCUA